rnacentral:rRNA from 1 species
UACGUAGGGGGCGAGCGUUGUCCGGAAUUACUGGGCGUAAAGCGUGCGCAGGCGGUUCGUUGUGUCGGCGGUGAAAGCCCCGGGCUCAACCUGGGAAUGGCCGUUGAAACUGGCGAACUGGAGUGUGGCAGAGGGGGGUGGAAUUCCGCGUGUAGCAGUGAAAUGCGUAGAGAUGCGGAGGAACACCGAUGGCGAAGGCAGCCCCCUGGGCUGACACUGACGCUCAGGCACGAAAGCGUGGGGAGCAAACAGG